AGUGAACGCUGGCGGUAGGCCUAACACAUGCAAGUCGAACGGCAGCACAGUAAGAGCUUGCUCUUACGGGUGGCGAGUGGCGGACGGGUGAGGAAUACAUCGGAAUCUACUUUUUCGUGGGGGAUAACGUAGGGAAACUUACGCUAAUACCGCAUACGACCUACGGGUGAAAGCAGGGGAUCUUCGGACCUUGCGCGAUUGAAUGAGCCGAUGUCGGAUUAGCUAGUUGGCGGGGUAAAGGCCCACCAAGGCGACGAUCCGUAGCUGGUCUGAGAGGAUGGUCAGCCACACUGGAACUGAGACACGGUCCAGACUCCUACGGGAGGCAGCAGUGGGGAAUAUUGGACAAUGGGCGCAAGCCUGAUCCAGCCCUACCGCGUGGGUGAAGAAGGCCUUCGGGUUGUAGAGCCCUUUUGUUGGGAAAGAAAAGCAGCAGGUUAAUACCCCGCUGUUCUGACGGUACCCAAAGAAUAAGCACCGGCUAACUUCGUG
rnacentral:rRNA from 1 species